rnacentral:tRNA from 1 species
GCCCCAGUGGCCUAAUGGAUAAGGCACUGGCCUCCUAAGCCAGGGAUUGUGGGGUCGAGUCCCACCUGGGGUA